GACAGCUACCUUGGGUGCAGAGCACUGACUGAGACCGAAAAAAAAUAAUGAGACCCAACGCCGACACACGAAACCGAGAGGAGAGGAAAAAAUACAAGGAUGGAAGAAAAACUUGUUGGAAGAAAAGCUGCCGAAAAACCUGUUGAGGUGAUGGUGCCGUAACUGGAAUCUGCCAGAAAACGACAACCUUGAUCAAAGAAAUACCGAAAAAACAAAGAAAAGGUCGGCGCCUAUGGAAGAACAGAGAGCGCGCGCAAGAGAGAGAAUAGGUUGGGUCUUGUACAGAGAACCGGGAGGAGAAGGAAAAAGAAGAGACCGAAACUUUCUGAAGAGCUGGAUUUCUGAAGAGCUUCAGCGGUAGCUCGGGACAGUGAAAACCUAGCAAGUCGCUAUUCUUAUGAUGCAGCAUCUGCUUUGAUGUGAUCAUCUUCCGAUUUUGUCAAGGAGAUCAUGCGAAUGCAAGGAUAUUUUGAUCUGAAUUUAGUCCAAAUAUAUCCCGAGUCACUCAGAGAAGCUUUGAAGAAGACUGUGCUCAGUCAGGAGGAUAUAUUUUCAAAGCAAGCUUGUAGACACGAUUACUGUACUGGUUACUUUAGGUGUUGACUUAAGUUAGAAUCAUGUGUCCUUAUUUGAUAUAAUUAUGCCCCCUUUGUUUCAUACCAUGUAAUGAUUUGAAUUUGUUUUGGAGUCGAGCCCUUCAUUAGUUUAAGAUUACAACAUUUUCAAUAGCUACUUAAAUUAACUGGACUUCACAGGUAUUUGGGACUCUCUCCUUGAAAUACAACAAUGGACCAAGCAUGUAGUUGAAAGUAUAGACAGAAAAAGCCACGAGGUUGAGGAAUUCCAUCGAUUAUAUACGAUACAGAAGACACUGAUGGACAAUAUUUCCUGGAUAGAGUUUAAUGGAUACAAUUCAAGGAAAGCAAGCACCCAAUCAAGUCUGUUAUGUUCUGCAAAUUUAGCAAGAUAUGAAGCACACACGAAAGAAACAACAAUUUCCUCAAUUCCCAUGGUAAAUGGAAAGCUCAAAAUUUCAGGAUCUUAUGAAGAGGGAUAUUAUAGUAAUGAGGCAAAGGCUUUGUUUUUCCUUUUCCCAAGUAGUUUCUUCAUACAUUAAACUCUAUGUUUAUUGGGACUUACCUUUUGAAUGCAUAUUAGGUGGCUAUGCAUGUAUAUAUCCAUCCUCUUUUAAUAACUUA